AACAGUCGAUGUUUCCAUUUAUAGUUGAAAACAGACGAAUCAACAUCUUAUUUUAUACUUUAAAUCUAAAUGUGAACGAUUAAUUUUUGAACGAUCAUGGUCCUAAUGACCCCUACAAUUGUAGAUUUUUUAAAUAUUCGGUGUUUCCAAGGUCGUAUGGAGCUUUUAAUACUGAAUUAUAACCUAUAAAUAAAAAAUACUGUUUUAUUAAUGAAUAUGUCAAAUAUUCGUAUUGAAAAUGGAUGAUACUUGAUAUAAAACAUUUCUGCUCAAUUAAUGC